rnacentral:rRNA from 1 species
AACGCGAAGAACCUUACCUGGGCUUGAACCGCUACUGACCAGCGAUAGAAAUAUUGCCUUCCCGCAAGGGACAGUAGUAGAGGUGCUGCAUGGCUGUCGUCAGCUCGUGCCGUGAGGUGUUGGGUUAAGUCCCGCAACGAGCGCAACCCUUAUUCGUAGUUGCCACCCGCAAGGGGGAACUCUACGAGGACUGCUCCGGAUAACGGAGAGGAAGGUGGGGAUGACGUCAAGUCAGCACGGCCUUUAUGUCCAGGGCUACACACGUGUUACAAUGCACGGUACAGACUGUUGCGAACCCGCGAGGGGGAGCUAAUCGGAUAAAACCGUGCUCAGUUCGGAUUGCAGUCUGCAACUCGACUGCAUGAAGCUGGAAUCGCUAGUAAUGGCGUAUCAGAUCGACGCCGUGAAUACGUUCCCGGGCCUUGUACACACCGAGACGAC